AGCACAAACGGUACUCACUGAAUGAUAAUACACACACUUUAAUAUUGUUAUAAUAAAAGGUGAAUGGUAUGCCGAAGUGCAAGCGGUGCUCACACAGGGUUGUGAAUGGUAUGCCGAAGCACAAGCGGUGCUCACCUAAUGAUAAUUAGUAUAUAGUGGCUGGUAUGCCGAAGUGCAAGCGGUGCUCACACUGGGUUGUGAAUGGUAUGCCGAAGCACAAGCGGUACCCACUAUACUAUUUAUCUGAUAAAGAAUUCUGAGGAACAAUGAACAUACAGUGUAGCCGACCAAAAAUUCACCUAGCAACGUUGCAGCGUAGCAGACCAGCGUCAGACCAGCAUUAAGUACAUCAAUACGAACAGCCGGAAUAUGGUUUACUAAUUACUUAUAGUCUCUUUGAGUUUUGUUUUAAUUAUGAUUGCUAAGUGCAUUUAAUAUCACCGCAUAGAUAUAAUAACUUUAUUAAUUUUGCUAAUUCAUUCAGUUUGUUAACAUAAAUUUAGAACUUGUUAGUUAGCGUUCGAAUGGCCGACAGGGAAUGGGGACAUUCCCAAUAACAGGACGGCCGACUGUUAGCGUUUAAAUUUACCAAUGCUAUUCUUUACUAAUAUCAAGCUACUUAUUUCAUCAUAGGUCCGGCCGGAUUACUAGAUGUAGCUAGGAGUUGUUCUUUAGUUCAUUUAGUUUCUAUAUUGUCUGUGAUUCGCAUUGACUGGCCGGUCACUGGAUUCAUGCGGAUUCAUUCAAUUCAAGAUGGCAGAAAAAACAAGAAUAACUUUUAAAAGACUUCUGUUUGUUAUUAGAUUCCUUUUUGAAUAGUUUGUGUUCCUUAUAAAAGUAUUUUACUUCAAA